rnacentral:misc_RNA from 1 species
AUGCGCAUCAAUGUUUUAGCAUUGUCAAACUUACAUCACACGUGCUGGCAAGGGCAAAGAGAAGUUGAGCCGCAAUUAAUACAGAAAGAUGUUGCUCUCUCCAAGAAUAACGUUUAGAUUUCUGGAUCAGGGUUGCAGAAUUCAGAAUGUACGAAAUCUGCACGCCAAAUCAAUGAAGAAACAGAUUCCCUUGCUGACCCUAAAUGGAAGUCAGUCAAUACAGAAGAGAAACAAUAUAUUCUUUUUAAAGCAGUUCUGGAAAAGUUAAAGGUCAAGUGAUUGGAAUAGAUUUGGGAACAACAAAUUCAUGUGUAGCUGUAAUGGAAGGAAAAACUCCCAAAGUUCUGGAAAAUUCCGAGGGAUCAAGAACAACCCCUUCUGUCGUGGCGUUCACCAAGGAUGGAGAGCGCUUAGUGGGGAUGCCUGCCAAAAGACAGGCCGUCACCAAUGCAGAAAACACAUUCUCUGCAACAAAACGUCUGAUUGGUCGCCGUUUUGAGGACGCUGAAGUCCAGAAAGACAUGAAGACUGCUUCCUUUAAGAUUGUAAAGGCCACCAAUGGUGAUGCAUGGGUAGAGGCUCAUGGGAAGAUGUAUUCCCCUAGUCAAAUCGGUGCAUUCGUCUUAAUGAAAAUGAAGGAGACAGCUGACAAUUACCUCGGACAGAAGGUCAAGAACGCAGUCAUCACAGUUCCUGCUUAUUUCAACGACUCUCAGAGACAGGCCACAAAGGAUGCUGGUCAAAUUUCUGGAUUAAACGUGCUGCGAGUCAUUAAUGAACCAACAGCUGCCGCUCUGGCCUAUGGCAUGGACAAGACAGACGACAAGCUCAUUGCUGUAUAUGAUUUGGGAGGUGGAACUUUCGACAUUUCUAUUCUGGAGAUGCAGAGGGGCGUGUUUGAGGUGAAAUCAACUAAUGGGGACACUUUCCUCGGUGGUGAGGAUUUCGACAAUGCCUUGGUCACAUUUUUGGCCAAUGAAUUCAAACGCGAUCAAGGGCUUGAUGUAACCAAAGACAACAUGGCUAUGCAGAGAUUGAGAGAAGCAGCAGAGAAAGCCAAGAUAGAGCUCUCAUCAAGCAUGCAGACUGACAUCAACCUCCCCUACCUGACAAUGGAUGCCACAGGACCCAAACACAUGAACAUGAAACUGACCCGAGCCAAGUUUGAGGGGAUUGUGGAGAGCUUGGUGAAGCGUACGGUCGGACCGUGUCAGAAGGCUAUGAGUGAUGCCGAGGUCAAGAAGUCCGACAUUGGAGAUGUCAUCCUUGUAGGAGGAAUGACUCGUAUGCCCAGGGUGCAAGCAUUGGUACAGGAAGUAUUUGGUAGAGCACCAGGAAAGUCGGUCAAUCCGGAUGAAGCUGUUGCCAUGGGAGCAGCCAUUCAGGGAGGAGUUUUGGCAGGAGACGUAACUGAUGUCCUUCUGUUGGACGUCACUCCGCUGUCGUUGGGUAUUGAGACUCUUGGAGGCGUGUUCACAAAACUGAUUGACAGAAAUACCACCAUCCCCACAAAGAAAUCUCAGGUUUUCUCAACGGCUGCUGAUGGACAAACCAGUGUGGAGAUCAAAGUUUGUCAAGGGGAGAGAGAGAUGGCCGCCGACAACAAACUCCUCGGCCAGUUUAUGUUGGUUGGAAUUCCCCCUGCCCCUCGUGGAGUCCCUCAAGUUGAAGUGACUUUUGACAUUGACGCUAACGGCAUUGUAAAUGUAUCUGCUAGAGACAAGGGAACCGGAAAAGAACAGCAAAUCGUGAUCCAGAGUUCUGGAGGUCUUAGCAAGGAGGAGAUUGAGAACAUGGUGAAGAACGCAGAGAAGUACGCUGCUGAGGACCAUGUCAGAAAGGAAAGAGUAGAGGCAGUUAACCAAGCCGAUGCUAUUAUUCACGACACAGAAUCCAAACUGGAAGAAUUCAAGAGCCAACUCCCAGAGGAGGAUGCCAAUAAACUGCGGGAACAAAUUGCCGGAGUGAAGGAGCUGAUCGCCAAGAAGGACCAAGUAGAAGUAGAGGAGCUGAAACAGGCGACCUCUAACAUGCAGCAGGCCUCCCUCAAAGUGUUCGAGCUGGCUUACAAAAAGAUGUCCGCUGACAGGGAAAGUCAGAGCGGAUCCUCAUCAAGUGAAGACAGUGGCUCAUCAGAAUCUAAAGACGAACAGGAAAAGAAGGAGGAGAAGAACUGAGAAAACUAGAACAAACUGUGUGAGUGUGAUAGUAUGAGAGAAGACAUUGAGGAGGGUCAGGAUCAAACAGCUCUGUGACACACCCACCGCCAGGGUCAAGGUCAAACCCUCAGCGUUAACAUUGAGGUCAUCCAUUUCUCCACUUGGUUGCGGAGUUUCCAUCUUCAUCUGUGUGGACAUUAGUGGAGGGCUGUCGACUCUGAUCGUGAUUUGUGAUGUCUAUUACUGUACAUAGGGAACCAGCACAGAGCUCCAUCAACCAUUCUGUGCAGGCAUUCGCAUUCAGAACUGAAAUGAUUAUUCAUCCAAGAAAUAUCAUGCAUUUUACAUUUUAGUUUGAUAAUCAGCCAUGCUUGGAAAUAAUUGACAGUGAAAUCUUAAAAAUAGUGAUGUUUUUGUGUCAGACUUUUAUGUAUAUCUGUACAUAUAUUAUGUGAUAUUAAAUUAAGUAAAAAUGACCAG